rnacentral:rRNA from 1 species
CUCCUACGGGAGGCAGCAUAGGGAAUCUUGCGCAAUGGGCGAAAGCCUGACGCAGCCAUGCCGCGUGAAUGAUGAAGGUCUUAGGACUGUAAAAUCUUUCAGUCGGGGAAGAGUAAUGACUGUACCCGCACGAAGAAGCUCCGGCUAACUUCGUGCCAGCCGCCGCGGUAAUUC